GUGAGGGAUAUUGCACAAUGGGCGAAAGCCUGAUGCAGCGACGCCGCGUGGGUGAUGAAGGUCUUCGGAUCGUAAAGCCCUUUUCUGCGUGACGAAAACAGACGGUAGCGCAGGAAUAAGUCUCGGCUAACUACGUGCCAGCAGCCGCGGUAAAACGUAGGAGGCAAGCGUUAUCCGGAGUUACUGGGCGUAAAGCGUGUGUAGGUGGUUCUUCAAGUUCGGUGUGAAAGCGCCCGGCUCAACUGGGCGAGGCCAUUGAAGACUGAAGGGCUAGAGGAUGGUAGAGGGGCGUAGAAUUCCGGGUGUAGCGGUGAAAUGUGUAGAGAUCCGGAGGAAUACCAGUGGUGCAGACGGCGCCCUGGGCCAUACCUGACACUGAGACACGAAAGCGUGGGGAGCGAACGGGAUUAGAUACCCGGGUAGUCC
rnacentral:rRNA from 1 species